UUGUACACACUGCAAAGUUUGUAAAAGAAAUCCAUUCUUUAAAUUCUUUACAUUUAAUACUGGUGGACAUUUUACUACUGAUACUCAUUUACUCUUACUUAGUAAAAAUCUGAUUACAGGACUUUUACACUGAUAUGUGACUGCAGAAUUGAAUAUUUGAGGCCAUUUCCACCAGACAUAUUCUGACAAUUUAUUAAUUUAUCUUUUUUUUGUCUCCAAAUACAGGAUAUUCAACUAAAGGCCUUAUCCCCAGCCAAUGGACAGAAGAAGGUUUUUUACAGUUUGAUGAUCACAUUUCUAUUCAUCACCACAUCAGUCAAAAGUGUUUAAACUAAAACACAGAGAGCUUAAAUCUGUGAUUGUGUGACAUACUAACCAACUGAUCAACUAAAUACAUCACAACUGUUUUUUGCUCAUAUUUUCACAGAAUGACAAUGAGUCUGUUUUCUCUCUGAAGCCCCCAGAAAUGUUUUCAUGUUUCUAUUUUAUGUAUUGAGCCUUCAGCUCACCAGUACACUGUGUGAAAUGAUUUAAUUUUUUAACUUUUAAUCACUUUGUGUUUAAAAAGAGAUGGCAUUCAGAUUGAUAAUUAGUAAUCUCAUUUUAUUUUAAAACUUGUAAUUUUUCCAGUAACAUUUAACCAUCCCAUUGCCACACACUUCUUUGCUUAUUCCAACACAUAAGCAGCCUUUUGACAAAUACUAAUAUCAGAAGAAGUUAGUGAUAACAUAAUGCUACAACUCCAUUAAGCAAGUAUUAUUAAUCUAAUUCAGCCAGCUGUGGGGAUCCUGUGGUGCAAAACACAACAACAAAACCAAAAACACAACAACUGAAGUCACAACCCAAUAAUUGUUCUGGAAAAGCAUCAACUGUUGUCGCUACCGUUUUCCUUUUUGUUGUUUUGUUUUGCACCUCAGGGCUACCGUAGCCAGCUCACAUAGAAUAGAUUAUGAAGUGAAUGUAAAAUAUGUACAGUGUUAAUGUUUCGUGAAUAGAGACUGAUCUUGUCACUCCUCUUUAGGAACCACAGAACUCAGCUCAGCAGGGAGAGGGGAGCAACGCCACUAAACCCCAACCUCGGCGAACGCCAAGCCAUCAGGAACCACAGAGCGCAGCACAGCAGGGAGAGAGGAGAGACGCCACUGACCCCCCCACCCCUCAGAGAACACCAAGCCAUGAGAUGGGUGCUUUUGUUCUGUGGCCAAUUCAAUUGAGGAAAUAAAUACUGCGUUGAAGAUAAAUAGUAGGACUAUUAAAGAGGUAAAAAUGUAAAAUGCUGACAAUGCCACCUAAGGUUGUUAUCCCGAGGAUAUGGGGGCUGCAUUGCGUGUGGGUAUGUUAUGUUUCACCACAUCAGUCAUCCCGAAAUCUUCCUUGUGAGCAAAGAAAACCUUCUCCCAUCAGCAGAGUUGCUAAAUGACCCUGCUCAUCCUGGGCCAGGACUGGUUGAUCAGUGAGUUGUUGUUGGUUGUUCAGGCUGACGUUGUGUGCUUCAUGGAUGUCCAUUUCAUCUACCUGAAAUAGUCUGCAAAGCUUCUCGUAGCAUCCUAUGGAGACUGGGAAAUCAUUCACGUUACGAAUGUUAAUUGGAACUCAAUCUUGUCUUGCCACUGAUAUUGUUUGAGCUGCUGAAACAGCAACGGCCUCCUGGAGUGUCUCAACCAGCCCAUAGUAGUCACGCCCUCUCAUUCUGGCAUUGGCACAUCCCCAGACUACCACUUCACCCCAGGCUGGUAUGCUAACUCGGUGACAGUGGUCUGGCCAGACAUAACCUUGUAAACUAUCUUCUGAGGUCACUGUAGUCCUGCGGCACACUGAAACUUAGAGUUCUGGCAAGAGAAAGGCACUGGCCCAUCAGGGUUUCAUAACAGCAAGCUGGACGAAAACCCAUCAUCCACAAUAAAAUCUCCUCGCUAGUUAAUUUUAUGGCCCUCAAUUUCAAACUCCAUAGUGACAUAGUCCAGACAGGGGACAUGGGAACCAUUGGCAGCUUUAAGCUUAAUCAUUGAGGGAACUCUUUAACAGCAUACUCAGGGAAGUGCUUAACAAAAUUACCAUAUUAAGGUGGUUUGUGAGCCAAUUUCUAGAAGGCCUUUCAUUUUAAGAUCACCUAUUACCACCUCAACAUGUGGACAUUGUCCAGUCAAAGCUGAAGUUGGCCCUUGUGAGGUCUGUUUGGCCUAACCCAACUCCAACCUGUGUCCACAUCUGUCCUGUAAAAGUAGAGCCAUUUGUUGAAGGGCAUCAAAUGUUCUCUCUGGCUGUUGACGGGUAGAUCUCCUCAGUCCUUGUGUUAGGGGUCCCUCCUCCAGGCCCAGAAGGAACUGUUCUUUCAGGUGGUCGUUGGUGGCGGCCUCAUCUGGGUCAUGUUGCUGGAGCCUGCGAUGCAGCUCCCUUAACCUCAGAACUGAGACUGCACAGGUUCAUCUGCAAGCAAAGAACAACUAAACAAGUUUUUUUGUUGGUAAAUAACAAGGAGACAUUAGCAGGAAAGAUAAAAUAUAAAGAUUUCUCAGUUUCAAGAAUAAGGCCUUCACUGAGGUUCCCCAUAAAAAGAAAGACUGAUGACUAUUUUUCUGUUCGAUUGUAUUCUAUAUAGAUCCCGUGUAAUGAUUUUACACCAAUACAGUUAAACUUUUUCUAUAUAUUGUGUAAAACAAUAAUUAGUGUUUUUCACAGAGCUGUAACAGAAUACACAUGGCACAAAUGACAGAGAACAUAAAAAUAUAGAACAAGGAUUCUGUGACACCAAUUUCAUGUGAUCUGACUAAAUGUGUUUUCUGUCAUCACUCACUGUGUUAAAUGCUUUUCAGGAGGAAAGAAGUCCAGCUCCACCACCACCAGAGGAGCAGACCCUUAUGUAGCAGGAACCGGGUCCAUCAAACAAACAGUAACAAUUACUUCAUCAGUUUCUGGGAGAACUUUUGUCCCUCUGAGA